CCUGGACCAGGGCUUGAACCCGUGUCCUCUGCAUUGGCAGGCGGAUUCUUAACCACUGUACCACCAGGGAAGCCCAUGACUGUCUUAACUUUAAUGCCCAGGCAGCAAGCACAGUGAUCACUGGGCUGGUUCUGAAAAGAAACUCGCCUGGCUGAAGUACUAUCUAUACCUGUUGCUUAGUACAUUCCAGUCAGCAUAGAGCAGAGUUUCUCAGCCUCAGCACAAUUGGUGCUUUGGGCUGGAUAAUCCUUUGUUGUGGGGCUGUCCUGUGAAUUGUAGGAUGCUUAGGAGCAUCCCUGGCCUCUACCUUCUAGGUGCCAGUAGCAUGUCAGUUGUGACAACCAAAAAUGUCUCCAGAGAUUGGCAAAUGUCCCCUUAGGGGCAAAAUUUCCCCCGGUUGAGAACCACUGGCAUAAGAACCAAUGUUACCACCUUAGGUCAAACUUGAGUUUUCUUUCCCUAUCUUCUCUCUUCUAUGGAAAGUUGCUUAUGACCAGGGAAAUUUUAGUGUAUGUAUACUCUAUCUCAGGGUAACAAGUUGUUGGAUAAUUGGUUAUAUAUACAAAAUUAUCAACUUGCUACCCACUUGCAAUAUUGCAUAUAUAAUGCUUUUAGUUAACUUUAUGUAAUGGUCUAAUUAGAGUAUAUAUAAUUGGAAGUCUAAUUUACAGUAAGACUGUUAGAAUCUUUGUGAUUAGGUAUUUAUUUGUACAAGGGGAACAUUAGAAUGGCACCUCAAAAUUUGCUUUUCCUGUACUAUUUGUACUUAAUUGGUGUUGCCUCUGUAAUGUGCCCAUCAUCCUUUGCCAGAAGAGCAUAAAUAUGCAAAAUAUCUGUUUGAAGAGGAUUUGGUAUUUUGUUCUGGGCUUUCAAAAAAUGUUUUGUUUUGUUUUCAAUUAGAAAUGAUAAAGUAGAUUAAAGUAAAAGUCACCAUUAAGUAGUAAGUAAUAAGUAAAUAAACUCAUUGAACCUGUUUGCUAUGCAUAUUUUUUUAAUUAAACAAUAUCAUGUAGAUAAUGUUCUUCAACCUUUUUUAAAACAGCAUAGUGUGGAUAUCUUUCAAUGCAUACAUGAUUUUUUUAUGUCUACAUAGUGUUCGAGACAAAAUUUUCCCUCUCUCCAUGUUUUUUAUGGAAGUAAUCCAGUCCCGUGGUUUCAAAACAUAAACUGUAAUGGCCACGGCGGGCGAGAGCGAGCCGCGGCCUGGGCCCCAGGGUGAUCUCGGGGGCCUGGGGCCCCGUGCGGCCGGCUCGGUAGCUUUUCCCUCCUGCCCCCCCGCACGCGGAGUCCUUCCUCCCCUGGCGGGGUCUCCAGCUUAACCCAGACCAGAGGAGGCUUUUCUUUGGGUGAGGGACACGAAAGUGCAUUGAGAAUUUCUCAACUCGGGAAGCAGAAGUGCUGCUCCUAGGUUUUACAGGGAGUAAGGGGGGAGCAGUGAGUUCGUGGAUAUUGAGUGAUGAUAAUAGCUAACCUUUUUCCAAGCCCUCGCUGUGUGCCAGGCACUGUGCGGAGCAACUUGUGUGUCUCUUCUUUACUCCCGAAAUGCCCCGAUGAGGUUGAACUGAGCAAAGCAAUGGUUAUGGAGAAGCCUAGUCUCCUGCUGGUCGGGCGGGAAUUUGUGAGACAGUAUUACACACUGUUGAACCAGGCCUCAGACAUGCUACACAGAUUUUGUGGAAAGAACUCUUCUUAUGUCCAUGGGGGAUUGGAUUCAAAUGGAAAGCCAGCAGAUGCGGUCUAUGGACAGAAAGAAAUCCAUAGGAAAGUGAUGUCACGAAAUUUCACCAAUUGCCACACUAAGAUCCGUCAUGUCGAUGCUCAUGCCACCCUGAAUGAUGGUGUGGUGGUCCAGGUGAUGGGCUUGUUCUCUAAUAACCACCAGGCUUUGAGGAGAUUCAUGCAGACCUUUGUCCUUGCUCCUGAGGGCUCUGUUGCAAAUAAGUUCUAUGUUCAUAAUGAUAUCUUCAGAUACCAAGAUGAGGUCUUUGGUGGCUUUGUCACUGAGCCUCAGGAAGAAUCUGAAGAAGAAGUAGAGGAACCUGAAGAAAGACAGCAGACACCUGAGGUGGUACCUGAUGAUUCUGGAACUUUCUAUGAUCAAACUGUCAGCAGUGACUUAGAAGAACAUUUAGAAGAACUUGUUGCUGAACCAGAGCCUGAUCCUGAACCAGAGCCAGAGCAAGAACCUGUGUCUGAAGUCCAAGAGGAAAAGUCUGAGCCAGUAUUGGAAGAAACUGUUCCUGAGGAUGCUCAGAAGAGUUCUUCUCCAGCGCCUGCAGACAUAGCCCAGACAGUGCAGGAGGACUUGAGAACCUUUUCAUGGGCAUCUGUGACCAGUAAGAACCUUCCACCCAGUGGAGCUGUUCCGGUUACUGGGAUACCACCUCAUGUUGUUAAAGUACCAGCUUCACAGCCUCGUCCAGAGUCUAAGCCUGAAUCUCACAUUCCACCGCAGAGGCCUCAGAGGGAUCAAAGGGUGCGAGAACAGCGAAUAAAUGUUCCUCCCCAGAGGGGGCCUAGACCAGUCUGUGAGGCUGGUGAGCAAGGUGACGUUGAACCCCGAAGAAUCGUGAGACACCCUGACAGUCACCAACUCUUUAUCGGCAAUCUGCCUCAUGAGGUGGACAAAUCAGAGCUUAAAGAUUUUUUUCAAAAUUAUGGGAAUGUGGUGGAGCUGCAUAUUAACAGCGGUGGGAAAUUACCCAAUUUUGGGUUCAUUGUGUUUGAUGAUUCUGAGCCUGUUCAGAAGGUGCUUAGCAACAGGCCCAUCAUGUUCAGAGGUGAGGUCCGUCUGAAUGUGGAAGAAAAGAAGACUCAAGCUGCCCGGGAAGGGGAUUGCCGAGAUAACCGCCUUUGGGGACCUGGAGGCCCUCGAGGUGGGCUGGGUGGUGGGAUGAGAGGCCCACCCCGUGGAGGCAUGGUGCAGAAACCAGGAUUUGGAGUGGGAAGGGGCAUUGCUCCAAGGCAGUGAAUUGCUCUUCACCGAUCUUCAGGCAGCAGUACAAACCCUAGCUCCCACAGAAUGAUUUCUUCAGCCAACCUUUGGUAUCUUGGAAUCUGAUCCUAGUCUAUGAUAAACUGCUUAAGUUUGUACAGUUCUACUUUUUGUGUUACUGAUGUGUGCUCGUUCCCCUCUCACCCCCUCCCCCCACCUUUUAGUCCUUCACUUCCAGUUUUGUGGAAUGAUAUUUUAGGCAAAAUUGAUUUUUAAAGAAGAAAAAAAAAGACUGCAUUUCCUUGAUUUAUUUGCAUAUACAGACUGGAUUUUUUUUUAACAGUUUCCCCAAAGGAAUGUGUCUUGCUUAUUACUGACAUUUGGUAUGUUUCAUUCAUUGGAAUAUUUUUUACUUAUUUUCUACAUGUUUCAAAAGCCUGUGAGAAUUACAGGAUUUGAUAAACAUUUUGAAGGCAGGAAGAACCCAAAUUGUCUCUUCUUUGAGAGUCAUGACUACCUUCUGGUGUGGAAAAAUUGCCGUUGGAAAAAUUGACAAUUUAGAUUCUCUCUGGUAUGGUUAAAAACUGAAUAAAAGGUGUUAGUAGAGUUUUUCUUUGGAUACGUGGUUGCAAAACAGUUCCAAAACCUGUUUUUACCAUUGAAAUUUAAACUGUGAGAUAGGUUUUAAAUGUCUAGAAUGCAACUGAUAAGCUUUUCUUGAACUGUUAGAUUUUUUUUUUGAAGUAGAGUUUUUUCAUGUUUAAUUUGUAUUUGUAAAAAAAAAAAAAACCAAAAAGGCCCCAAAAAUUUUCAAAAAUCUGAAUAACACAAAACCGGAGCAAAACUGUUGUGCCUUCUAUUUAUCUUUGAUUCCAGUCUUGGCAAUUGUUUAAAGAAAAAUAAUAAUAAAAAACAUAAACUUAGGUUUGUUCUAUUUAAAAAAAUAAAUAAAAAUAAACUGUAUAGGACUAAUAAUAUACAAAAAUUACUUAGUUUGCUUCAUUUAAGACCUGAAGUGGGCAAGGAUAGUACAGUGUCAGAUGCAGUAGAAAAAAACACUAUAGCUGACAUUCUAAUUCUCUUGUAGACAUAAGUGAACAAAUUUGCUGAAAUACAGAGCUUUCACACUUGUGAACUUUUAUCCCCAGCAUCCAAUACAGUGUCUGGAACAUAAUAAGCUCUGAUAUAUUUGUUGAAUAAAUGAAAAAUAAUAUUUUGUCUAGG